AUGCUGCUGCCUCCCCUCCUGGCCCUGGCUGCAGCCUGGUCUUAUGGCCAAGCACAAGUGAUUCUGAAGCAGAGAGAAGUGUCCAUUACCAGAGGGCACAAGACAACUGCAUCAAUGGACUGUCUAGCCGAGGGUAUUCCUGACUUCCAGUACGCAAACAUACACUGGUACCGACAGGUAGCUGCCAAAGCUCCAGAACGGAUUCUGUACAUUGGACCCAGUGCAGUUUUUUAUGAUGACAACGCCUAUAGGAACAAGUAUUCUUCUUCAAAGAAAGGUACAAAUGUCUGCACUCUCACAAUCAAUGACAUCAAUGAUGUGGGUUCCUACUACUGUGCCUACUGGCAUUUCCACAGAACCAACAGGUGA